rnacentral:lncRNA from 1 species
GAGGAAGAAGGUGAAGACGAUGAGACAUGUAGGGUUUCGACAAAACUGUGUGACCUGGCACCAUACUGCUUUCUAAUUGGUCGAUUUAAUUUAAUACGUGGCAGCUCUUUCCAUUAAGUAUAUUGCUAUGUGAUAUUUAUGUGAUAUCAUCCUUCUGCACAUUAAGACAAAAAUAUAGAUUACUAUUUUUCACUUAAAUUUCUCCCAAAAUCUGACACGUGUCAUAAAUAUAGUAAUCUAUAUUUAAGUGAAAAAUAGUUAUUUUUCACUUAAAAAAAGACGGCUUAUCUCCAUAAUGUAACAUUCCC